rnacentral:lncRNA from 1 species
UUAGAUGGUGAGAAAGAGACAGAGGUGUUAAACAGAACUCUGAAGUGUGAGCUGGAAUGGAAGAAUUAUCUCAACCUCAGCAUCCUUUUUGCGUCGUUUAGGUGGCCUUAUUCUGGUUUCUACGAAAUUCAGAAGACUUCUGCAGAGGUCUGGAUAGGGUGAUGAAAAGAAGAAACCAGCAAGGCUUGAUUCUGCUGAAGCUCCCUUUAGAGUUGUGCUCUUGGGCCUUGUUGCUGACUAGGCUGGCCAGCCAGCUUUUCCAACCUGUCCAAUGAAUAUGAAGAUUGCUUCUGUUUCUAGCAGAGAAUGUAACCAGGAGUCGAGGUUUAAAAAAUAAUCUGAAUUACCAUACCUGUCUCAAGCAUGAAAUCAACAUGCAGGAUGCAAGCCUUGCCCUGUGUUGACUUUGCACUUCAGAAGCUCACUGCUAAUGUGAACGGAAAAGCAAGCGUAACUCCAAAUUCAUGGGAAGAUAGGGGCAAAAAUUGGAACAGAGACUGAAGCAAAGGCCAUCCAGAGACCGCCCCACCUAGGGAUUCAUCCCAUCUGCAGACACCAAAUCCCUACCUACACUAUUGCUGAUGCCAAGAAGCACUUGCUGACAAGAGCCUGACAUGGCUGUCCCCUGAGAGGUUCUACCCGCAUCUGACUAAUACAGAUGCAGAUACUCACGGUCAACCAUCAGACUGAGCACAGGAACCUCAAUGGAGGAGUUAGGGGAAGGAGCUGAAGGGAAUUGCAACCCCAUAAGAAGAACAGUAUCAACUAACUGGACCUCUCAGAACUCCCAGGGACUAAACCACCAACCAAAGAGUAUAUAUAUAUGAGGGAGCCAGGACCCUGGCUAUAUAUGUAGCAGAGGAUGACCUUAUCUGACAUCAGUG